GAAAUAUUUUUUAAUUAAGCUGCUAACUUAAUUUUUAGUGAAUAAAAUCAUUAAUAUUUCU
rnacentral:tRNA from 1 species